AUUGAACGCUGGCGGCAUGCCUUACACAUGCAAGUCGAACGGCAGCAUGGAGAGCUUGCUCUCUGAUGGCGAGUGGCGAACGGGUGAGUAAAGCAUCGGAACGUACCGUGUAGUGGGGGAUAACGUAGCGAAAGUUACGCUAAUACCGCAUACGCACUGAGGUGGAAAGCAGGGGAUCGUAAGACCUUGCGCUAUACGAGCGGCCGAUGUCAGAUUAGCUAGUUGGUAGGGUAAAGGCCUACCAAGGCGACGAUCUGUAGCGGGUCUGAGAGGAUGAUCCGCCACACUGGGACUGGGACACGGCCCAGACGCCUACGGGAGGCAGCAGUGGGGAAUUUUGGACAAUGGGGGCAACCCUGAUCCAGCCAUGCCGCGUGAGUGAAGAAGGCCUUCGGGUUGUAAAGCUCUUUCGGCCGGGAAGAAAUCGCACAGGCUAAUACCCUGUGUGGAUGACGGUACCGGCAUAAGAAGCACCGGCUAACUACGUGCCAGCCGCCGCAGUAA
rnacentral:rRNA from 1 species